ensembl:snoRNA small nucleolar RNA SNORD59
UCUUCAAUGAGGAUCCCAACAUUGACUUUCGUUCUUCUGAGUUUCAUGAAGCCGAUGUUUUCGUACUGAGAAUA